rnacentral:rRNA from 1 species
UGGGGAAUAUUGCACAAUGGGCGGAAGCCUGAUGCAGCAACGCCGCGUGCGGGAUGACGGCCUUCGGGUUGUAAACCGCUUUCAGCAGGGACGAAGCGCAAGUGACGGUACCUGCAGAAGAAGCACCGGCUAACUACGUGCCAGCAGCCGCGGUGAUACGUAGGGUGCGAGCGUUGUCCGGAUUUAUUGGGCGUAAAGAGCUUGUAGGGGGUUGGUUGCGUCGAAAGUGCAAACUCAGGGCUUAACUCUGAGCCUGCUUUCGAUACGGGCUGACUGGAGGAAGGUAGGGGAGAAUGGAAUUCCCGGUGGAGCGGUGGAAUGCGCAGAUAUCGGGAGGAACACCAGUGGCGAAGGCGGUUCUCUGGACCUUUCCUGACGCUGAGAAGCGAAAGCGUGGGGAGCAAACAG